UAUAUUUUGUAUUCCUAUCAUUCACCUUUCUUUCUGAGUACUAAUACAAUUAGGGUUUGGGUUUUGAUUGGGCCUUGCUAUUCUAAAUGUUGCAAUUGAUUUCUAUACGGCUAUGCAUGUCCUGCCCAAGUUUACAUGAUCUUACCCUAGCUGGCUGCUCAAUCUCAGCUUUACACACAAGCAAUGCUCCAUCAUUUCCAACCUCCUCUCAUCUCCUCAGAUGAGCCAUCUCUCCCUGGCAUUUGAACAUUUGCACAGCUUGUUCAAACCCGCUAUCAUCUCCCUCCUUCUUGCCCUUCGCCAGCUCACUAAUUCCUCUCUAGACUUCGGGAUCAGCUUACGUAUUACAUUGGCUUAGGACUGGAAACAGGGGUGUCAUAGCAAUAGAUGAUAGAACAAAGAUGGCAGGCAGUGCCCAUUGACUUUUGACGCUUUGCACCUUCAUUUCCAAAGCUGCCUUCUUGAAGUCAUUCUGGCCAGCUUCAUAGCGUUUAUAGGACCCCCUCAUCCCCUUGUCUUUUACAGGUUACCCAAAAAGGAAUGUUCUAGAGGAAAUGGCACAAAGCCAUAGAAUUUUAAUUGCAGUUUGGAAUUACAAAUAUCACUGAGGUGAGGAGAAUGAAGCACAGUGAAGUGAACACAGAACCAGGUGGCACUUCUUUUCCAUCACUGAUGUUCUGAAUCACAUCGCUGCAGUGGGUGACAUUGCUAUCCACAGGAGAAGAGAUGAAAUAGAAAAGCCUAAACAGACAUGGAAAGAAGGACCAUCUAUGGAGCGGAAUCAGUCUCCAGACUCCAAACGACGUGAGAGAGAGUGUAGAAUGAGAAUUGAGGACAAGGGCCUAUCCAAUAUUUGGCCUGAAGUAAAAGAAAAGAACAGUGUCUCUUGCCAAAAAUAGUAGUGACAGUGGCAGUCACCACCAGAGGACAGCUUUGCCAAGCAGAACGAUAAACUAAUGAGAGUUAUAAGCAGCAGAAGCAUGAGGGUCAUAUGAGAAAGACAGAACAGAGCAGAGAGGAUCUGAACCGAAGAACCAAUCUGCUAUGGUCUGGAUGUCUGUGUCCUCUGAAAAAUUCAUAGGUGGAAACUAAUGACCAAUGUGAUGGUAUUAAGAGUGAGGCCUCUGGGAAGUGGCUAGACCCCUCAUGAAUGAGAUAAGAGCAUGUAGGAGUGAACAUGUACAGAAAAAAAUCUCUUACAGAGGAAUAAGUCAAAAUGCCACCCAUAUCACAAGGAAGUGGCCCUCUCUGAGCAGAGUCAGAAUAUGCCUCCGUCCCAUAUUACAGCUGCUACUUGGUCCAUCAUCAAACCUGAGGGAAAGUCAGGGGAGGAAGUCUGCAAGGGAAUGAGAAGGAUGAAAGAUUUGUCACAAGAAUCGUUUCUACUUCACAGAAAAAUCUUCAAGCGUGGGCAUUCUUGUGGAGGCUGUGAUGGUCAGAAGCCAGAGAGGAUGGAGAUAGAGAUGCAGAGGACACCCCACAGACAGAAGAGGAGGAAGGCUCCAUCUUAUGCCCCAGCAACGAUAAACUCGUGUCUCGUGG